AUCACCAUAUUUGCCAAUAUCCUUAUAAUAAUUCCAAUCAAUGUCUCUCUAGUGGCUUGUCUAAGGCUCAGAAACUGUCGUGAUUGCAACCUAAGAGGAGUAAGAGCUAUAGAACUUCAUCAUGGUUUUGCCAAUUGAGUCAUAUAAAUGCUAGUCCAGUUUUUCUUGUUUGAAAAUCUUGUUAUAUUUUAGAUAUGACUGAAAAUUCCUUCACUCCUGGCUUUGGUACAGACGAUCCGUAGUCAUUACCAAUGUUCCAAUGAUAUUAGGAUGAAAAGCUCUAAUAAUGUGAGGGUUUUAGAGGAAGCUGAACAUAAUCCUAGUCCAAACUGCAAUUGCAGUCACUAGAAUACGCAUCGAAUGAUGUCAUUUUAGAUAUAUGUUGUCUGAGCAUCAGAUUCACCAGCGUCUGUCAAGAGGCCACCACUCCAUUUACAUUGUAUUAUUCCAUUCCCAUAGCUCAUGUACCCAUCAGGCCACCACAUCCCUCUCCAUCCAUUCUAUAUAUCUACUGUAAACAGGAAUUCUGAUUCCAGGUCAAUUUUAUGAGCCCCAACUGCUUCACUAUAUAAUAGUUGUAUUGCACUAGAGAAAACACUUGAGGCCAGAGAUAGGAAGGAAGUAAUCACAAAAUUUAAAACUGAAAUGGCAUCAUUGAAGGCUGAGAAACCUGUUCUACAACUUAAGAAAGAGCCAGCAGCUCCAAAAGCCAGUGCUACCACGCCCAAAGCCCCGGCCUCCAAACCCGCCCCUAAGAAGGCUGAGACUAAGCCUAAGGAGCCUAGGAAGAGGACAACUGGAAGCAAACCAUCUGCAGCCAAGAACUAAGAAGAACGAGGAUGAAGGAAGCGAGCUGUGGAGUGCAUGAAGACGCUAAAACAUCGUCCUCCUCCAUAACUAAUAAAAUCAUAACUAGUAGUACUGUACUUGGUUGUGAUUUAUGUCCAUGUUUCUCUUUGUAGUUUGCCCUUUUGAAUAAAGUAUCUAUGUUCUAAAGAA